rnacentral:rRNA from 1 species
UACGAAGGGGGCUAGCGUUGCUCGGAAUUACUGGGUGUAAAGGGUUCGUAGGCGGUGUGGCAAGUCGGGAGUGAAAUCUCUGGGCUCAACCCAGAGACUGCUUCCGAAACUGCUGUGCUUGAGUGUGAGAGAGGCUCGUGGAAUUGCAGGUGUAGCGGUGAAAUGCGUAGAUAUCUGCAGGAACACCCGUGGACGAAAGCGGCGAGCUGGAUCACUACUGGACGCUGAGGAACGAAAGCUAGGGGAGCAAACAGG